ensembl:lncRNA
AAGACUUGGUUGCGUGCGCGUGCGUGUGUGCGCGCGUGUGCACAUAUAACAUUUAUUCUGAGGCUCCUCCUCGCCCCUUGCCCACUUUAAAAUCCGCAUUCAUACUAUUCUUCACCUUAAACACUUCAGACAUCCCAGAUUUGGAGAGAUUUAAAAAAAAAAAUCAGGCCUACAAUUAGGUGAACACUCUUUGCAAUAGAUGGAGGAUUUUGUAGAAGGACACCAGAAGUUCGGCGCCUCCUCUCGGAUUCAGAUUUUGGCCCCCUUUCCCGCUCUUUUAAAGCACCGUUUCUCAGGCUCUGCCCAGUGUCAGGCUAGGCUGCUUCAGUAUUUUCCCGUCUGUCUUUUGUUGAACGUGAGGCGGGAAGAGAGACCGAGAAGAUCGAAGGGGUCUGCAUGGAGGGGGGGGGAAAUGACCAUGCCCUCGGCUAGAGCCUAAAAGCCCGGGCCCGUGGCGCGCUGGCCUGCGAGUUGUCCCAGCCGCCAGGCCUGGCACAAGUCUUCGGAACGCGCUAGCCAAUGUUUAACCCGAAUGCAGUGACCACCAGGCCGCUUUUGUUUGUUCGCAAAUUAAUCACCCAGCGCACGGCCGGCGCCAGAGUGGGUUUAUCACCCACCGGGAGGGGGGCGCGGCGGCCCCGCAGAGACAAAGAGGAGUUCGCACCUUCCCGCUUUUGAUCCCCAGUUACUGCGGCCUCCCUGCAUAAUACGAGCCUCCUGGGGCCGAGUCUGGGAGGUCAGUCAUAAUUGGCGGAAGUUUGCAGACCAUUAGCAAGAUGUCGACAUUUUCGAUUCAGAACCCCACAAACUUUCCUCUCCCGCCUUCCUCUCUGGCGCGCUGGAGUGGCAAUGAGGGGUCAGGAGUGGCAACUGGGGUGACCCCAGGGUUAAGUCCACCUCCACCGUUGAGGCCAAAGGCAAGUUGAGAUAUUUACAAGUGAAAUCAGCAAGCUCCCCUCCCACAGUCCAAAACCGAAGCGAGGCCAGCAUGCGGACGACCGAGUGAAAUGUCUCUCUUCCUGGUCAUCUGGACGCUUAGGACACCGAUUGGGUGGAUGUGGGUGUGUGUUGGGGGUCAUCUCGUGCUUGCAGAAUUACUUUCCUUCUCUUCGGUGCGUCGGAGCAGAGGUUGGCCGGCGAGUGCAGGCAAAACCAGACCCCGGGUUUGGGGCCGCUGCUGAAAGCGCAGCGGUGCGGCCCCAGGCUCCCGCGGCCAGCAGAGUGGGGGAAGGGCGGGUUUCAGCCUCCGGAGACUGGUGGAAACCCUGCGGUGACCUCGGUGGACGGUAUCAGAGGGGAAAGGCCUGGGUUUCUCGCACCCUCCGGGGUCGGGCGGCCAGGGACCUGGGAGGGGGCAUCGUGAGCCGACACGCUGACCCCCGCCGCUCUUGCUCCACCACCUCAGAGAGAGGCCGAGAGACCGGCCAGGAGACAGACCUAAAGGGAGAGAAAGGGGCGAGAUGGCAAGCCAGAUGGAGUUCGCAGAACCACUCUUAUUCUCUCUGGUGACUUCAGGGAAUUCUUAGCGCUGGCGCCAAGCGCUCUUAACCAUGUGCGUCAAAAAUGCGAGGCUGGAAAAAUCUCGUCUCCUCAAAAGUUCCGCCCCUAUCUCGGCACGGUUGGCCCAUAAUGGAACUGCAUUUUUCACACUCCCCCCAACUUGCUCCCACUUCGGAGUGUGGGAGCUGGGGGGUUAGGGGUACACGAGGCAAAAUGUAAGAGAGGGCUCUGCUGGUUACCUACACACAGUUACACGCACAAAACAACCCGAGCCUGGGAGUUCUUAACCCCCUAGACCCCGAAAUCAGUCCUUUCUUGGUUCCACUGGAGAAGUUCCCAGCUUAGGAAGGGUAAUAGAAUACUGUCCCCAAGACGUCCCUCCAUCUAAGCAGGGAUGGCGGCUAGAAUUGGGAAAUGUGGAUCUGGGGAAUCCUCUGACCUGGACAGGGACCUGCGGUAACAGUUACCAAUUCGGCGACAGGUCUGAUGGAUAAGAUCCUGUUUCGUCCCUCCCCUUCACCCUUGCUGAGCAACACCCCCCCCACACACACACACACACCUGAACUGGAGCCAGUCACCUCGCCUCUGGGGUGGGGGCAUUUCACGGUUUGUUUUACAAAUUCACCCCCGACUUCUGGCGAGAUAAGUCUCCGGGUGGAGAAAAGAACUGAGGCACCAAGAGAUAAUUGCGAUGCCUGGAGAAGAUACGGGCCUGGAGCACCUCCGCCCACUAGCUCGCCCACCCCAUUCCAGCAGCUCCUCACCCUGCUGACCGCCGAGGGGCGGGCGGCGGCUAGACGAGGACAGGCCCAGAACCUAGUCCCUCGUUGUGCUCACUUUGUUCAGAUACCCUCUCUGGUCUCACACACACAUUCAGGUUGAAAACCGGGAGCCAGAGUCCAAAUGGAAGACGAGAUCUAUCUAAAAGGGCUGGUAAAUCCAUUUGAAAAAAGCCCGAAUCCGCCUCCGGAGUGAGCUGAGCGCAGACCCGCGGCUGCCGCGCAGGCUGGGUCAGUGUUUGCGUGUAUAUGGCUUCCGCGGCUGAGCCCUAGUGGACUGCCGCGUGUUCGCGUACAAAUGUGCUGGGGGUGUUUGGGUCUCCGCGCAUAGUUUCGGGUGGGGCGCGGUGGGGAGAGAGCCCCCUCGCGUGGGCUGAGAUCUGGCAGCACCGCGUGCUCGGGAGCCCGCGCGCGAGCCCUGCUGCCCGGGCAGACCGGCAACGAGAAACACCCGAGCUCGGGAGCCCUUGAGCGGCGGCCGGGAAGAGCUUGGCUCCACGUGGGGCCGGAGAGAGCGCACAAGCCUGGAGACUCGGCGGCGUUCGCCUCUCCGCGGCGCCCGGCUUUUGUCGCGCCCGGCGGCCGGAUGGCAGCUCACGGGAGCCGGGGCCGUCCGCUCGGCUCGCCUGGAACCGGGUUAAAAGGGUGAACGGGAGAGAGAAACGGCCGCGGCGGCCCGAGAAGCGAGCCGAGCGCGCGAGAGGCGAGCGCCCCUGCCCGGCGCCCGGCGCGCUCUCCGCCUUCCUGGCCAGGCUCGCUAGCGCCCGCCUCCCUCCCGCGUGCUCCCUCCUGCCCAGCCUCCUCCCUCGAUCCCGGGCUGGAUGACUGAGGCAUUUCAGACAUGGACUGAGCCAGAGCGAGCGAGCAAGAGAGCGAGCUCCGGGGCUGCGGCGAUCUCUCGAUAAGCCACCUAGAGGCGACUCGGUGCGCGCGCUCCCCAGUGGCUCCCCGCCCUCCCUCUGAUCAUGUUGACAUAUUCACAGGACAGGCAGUAGUACCGUUGCGGCGCUGCGACGUUACAGUUUCCGACACCUUCUUUUUAUAACUCGGCUCUAUCCCCCAG